rnacentral:lncRNA from 1 species
UCUGCUCUGAGCUACCACUACAAGUGGUCUGCUUCGAAUUUCCACUACGAGCGGUCCUCGUUGGAUUUUUACUGUAAGCCUCCACCUGAGCUUCUAUUGUGAACGAACUCCUUUCGAACUUCUAUUGCAGGCAGGCUUCGACCGAGCUUCCUCAACAAAUGAUCCCCAUCCGGACUUCUACGGAGACCGAACUCCGACCGAAC